rnacentral:rRNA from 1 species
UACAGAGGGUGCGAGCGUUGUCCGGAAUCACUGGGCGUAAAGGGCGCGUAGGUGGUGGCUUAAGCGUGCGGUGAAAGCUUGGAGCUCAACUCCGAGUCGGCCGUGCGAACUGGGCUCACUGGAGCAUAGUAGAGGCAGGUGGAAUUCCGGGUGUAGCGGUGGAAUGCGUAGAGAUCCGGAAGAACACCAGUGGCGAAGGCGGCUCACUGGCCCGGUACUGACGCUGAGAAGCGAAAGCCAGGGGAGCAAACGGG